rnacentral:misc_RNA from 1 species
GAUGAAGAACGUAGCGAAACGCGAUAUGUAAUGUGAAUUGCAGAAUUCAGUGAAUCAUCGAAUCUUUGAACGCACAUGGCGCCUUCCAGUAUCCUGGGAGGCAUGCCUGUCCGAGCGUCGUUUCAACCCUCGAGCCCCCGUGGCCCGGCGUUGGGGAUCUGCCACGGCAGGCCCCUAAAACCAGUGGCGGACCCGAAGGCCCUCUCCUUUGCGCAGUAGCAUCAGCCUCGCAUUGGGAUCCCUCGACGUCCUGCCUCUAAACCCCCCACAAGUCCGCUCCGGCGGCACCAAGGUUGACCUCGGAUCAGGUAGGAAUACCCGCUGAACUUAAGCAUAUCAAUAAGCGGAGGA